CCUGGUUGAUCCUGCCAGUAGUCAUAUGCUUGUCUCAAAGAUUAAGCCAUGCAUGUGUAAGUACAGGCCGACUUAAGGCGAAACCGCGGACGGCUCAUUAAAUCAGAUAUAACUCAUUGGAUCUCUGCUGAACCGCAUUACUUGGAUAACUGUGGUAAUUCUAGAGCUAAUACAUGCCUUUGUAGUCUCCGACCGCGAGGGAGGAGCGCUUUUAUUAGACCAAAACCCUCGGCAGCCGGUUCCCGCAAGGGCCGGCCGCACACAUCUUGGUGAAUCAGAAUAACUUUUGCCGAGCGCACGACCCCUCCCGUAACCCGGGUUGGGUCGGCGCCGCGUCCUGCAGGCGUCUGCCUUAUCAGCUCUCGAUUGUAGGUUAAACGCCUACAAUGGCUAUCACGGGUAACGGGGAAUCAGGGUUCGAUUCCGGAGAGGGAGCCUGAGAAACGGCUACCACAUCUAAGGAAGGCAGCAGGCGCGCAAAUUACCCACUCCCGGCACGGGGAGGUAGUGACGAAAAAUACUGUUGCGAGCCCGAACGGGGCCUCGCAAUUGGAAUGAGUACACUUUAAAUCCUUGUACGAGGAUCGAGUGGAGGGCAAGUCUGGUGCCAGCCGCCGCGGUAAUUCCAGCUCCACUAGCGUAUAUUAAAGUUGUUGCGGUUGAAACGCUCGUAGUUUGACUUCUGCUCCGGACCGGCGGUCCGCCUUAGCGGCGGCUACUGCCGGGUUCCGAGCUGUGUCCCCGCCGGCGCACAUGGGGUUUUUAUGCCCUUAACCGGGUGUCCCCUUGUGGCCGGCACGUUUACUUUGAAAAAAUUAGAGUGCUCAGAGCAGGCUGGUUUUUGCUUACAGCCCGAAUGGUCGUGCAUGGAAUGAUGGAACAGGACCUCGGUUCUAUUUUGUCGGUUUUUCGGAACCCGAGGUAAUGAUUAAUAGAAGCAGACGGGGCAUUCGUACUGCGACGCUAGAGGUGAAAUUCUUAGACCGUCGCAUGACGACCUACUGCGAAAGCAUCUGCCAAGGAUGUUUUCAUUGAUCAAGAACGAAAGUUAGAGGUUCGAAGGCGAUCAGAUACCGCCCUAGUUCUAACCUUAAACGAUGCUGACUAGCGAUCCGCCGCAGUUAUUCCCAUGACCCGGCGGGUAGCUUCCGGGAAACCAAAGUCUUUGAGUUCCGGGGGAAGUAUGGUUGCAAAGCUGAAACUUAAAGGAAUUGACGGAAGGGCACCACCAGGAGUGGAGCCUGCGGCUCAAUUUGACUCAACACGGGGAAACUCACCAGGCCAGGACACCGGAAGGAUUGACAGAAUGAAGGCUCUUUCUCGAUUCGGUGGGUGGUGGUGCAUGGCCGUUCUUAGUUGGUGGAGUGAUCUGUCUGGUUAAUUCCGAUAACGAACGAGACUCUAGCCUGCUAAAUAGUCGACGGAUCUCAACCCCGUUGCCCCCGUUGUCGUUCGCGGCGAUGCGGGGCGCGGGUUCCCCGAAACCCGGUCGUCGUGCGGGCCUCCACCGUCGGUCGGUUAGCGCCGCCGGCGGCGCGCCCCGCGGCGCCGGAAACUGGCGUCCGCUUCGCAGUCUUCUUCUUAGAGGGAUAAGCGGCAGCAAAAAAUAUACUAGCCGCACGAGAGUUUGAGCCAUAACAGGUCUGUGAUGCCCUUAGAUGUUCUGGGCCGCACGCGCGCUACAAUGGAGAGUUCAGCGAGCUGCCCUGCUCCGAGAGGAGCGGGUAACCUCGUGAAAGCUGUCCUUAAAGGGGAUUGGGGCUUGCAAAUGUUCCCAUGAACGAGGAAUUCCCAGUAGGCGCAAUUCACCAGAUUGCGCCGAUUUAGUCCCUGCCCUUUGUACACACCGCCCGUCGCUACUACCGAUUGAAUGGUCUAGUGAGGGCACCGGACUGGCGCCCUUGGAGCCGCUACCGCCUCGGCGGGCAGCGCCCUCGGGUCGACGGAAAGGUGUCCAAGCUGGGUCAUUUAGAGGAAGUAAAAGUCGUAACAAGGUUUCCGUAGGUGAACCUGCGGAAG
rnacentral:rRNA from 1 species